GUAGGUGGCAAGCGUUGUCCGGAAUUAUUGGGCGUAAAGCGCGCGCAGGCGGUCCUUUAAGUCUGAUGUGAAAGCCCACGGCUCAACCGUGGAGGGUCAUUGGAAACUGGGGGACUUGAGUACAGAAGAGGAAAGCGGAAUUCCAAGUGUAGCGGUGAAAUGCGUAGAGAUUUGGAGGAACACCAGUGGCGAAGGCGGCUUUCUGGUCUGUAACUGACGCUGAGGCGCGAAAGCGUGGGGAGCAAACAGGGAUUAGAUACCCUGGUAGUCCACGCCGUAAACGAUGAGUGCUAAGUGUUAGGGGGUUUCCCGCCCCUUAGUGCUGCAGCUAACGCAUUAAGCACUCCGCCUGGGGGAUACGGCCGCAAGGCUG
rnacentral:rRNA from 1 species